CCCUUAGAUGUUCUGGGCCGCACGAGCGCUACACUGAUGCAUUCAACGAGUCUAAAACCUGGUCUGAUAGGGCUGGGUAAUCUUUUGAAAGUGCAUCGUGAUUGGGAUAGAUGAUUGCAAUUCUUCAUCUUCAACGAGGAAUGCCUAGUAAACGCAAGUCAUCAGCUUGCAUUGAUUACGUCCCUGCCCUUUGUACACACCGCCCGUCGCUCCUACCGAUUGAAUGAUCCGAUGAAUACCAUGGAUUGAGAGUACGAAUGGGUUCGCUCAUUUCUGCUGCUCGAGAAGUGGAGUAAAUCUUAUCAUUUAGAGGAAGGAGAAGUCGUAACA
rnacentral:rRNA from 1 species